rnacentral:rRNA from 1 species
CUACGGGAGGCUGCAGUGGGGAAUAUUGCACAAUGGGCGCAAGCCUGAUGCAGCCAUGCCGCGUGUAUGAAGAAGGCCUUCGGGUUGUAAAGUACUUUCAGCGGGGAGGAAGGGAGUAAAGUUAAUACCUUUGCUCAUUGACGUUACCCGCAGAAGAAGCAUCGGCGAACUCCGUGCCAGCAGCCGCGGUAAUACGGAGGGUGCAAGCGUUAAUCGGAAUUACUGGGCGUAAAGCGCACGCAGGCGGUUUGUUAAGUCAGAUGUGAAAUCCCCGGGCUCAACCUGGGAACUGCAUCUGAUACUGGCAAGCUUGAGUCUCGUAGAGGGGGGUAGAAUUCCAGGUGUAGCGGUGAAAUGCGUAGAGAUCUGGAGGAAUACCGGUGGCGAAGGCGGCCCCCUGGACGAAGACUGACGCUCAGGUGCGAAAGCGUGGGGAGCAAACAGGAUUAGAUACCCUAGUAGUC